AUGCUUGUGGAGACACCACAAUCAAGAAGGUGGUUUUCACAGGGCAUGCCUCCUCUGUUGUACUUGGGAUGUGCUGACUCCUGUGAUAUCCCAAAAUGUGGGAAACUUGACUGCAUAAUUCAUGUUAGUGUGGGACAAUGCUCAUACUUUCCCCUU